UUAUGGUUUUCCUCCAGCCUGGUCUGUCUAUAGUGAUGAUGUCUAUAAACUUUUGCAGUGGGAAUUCCCCGGUUCCCAGUGGUAAUCCCACUGAUUGUCACUCUGGAUUCCUGAGCAAGACCCUUGGACCCAUAAUGAUCCUGAGCGCCUCACAGUGGUAGCCCACUGCUCCCUAAAACAGCAGUGCAUUCAGACAGAUAUGUGACGACACUGAGGACAACAGAAAGGAAUCGGAUGCACAUGACAUUGUGAAGGACUUCAUGGUCAAAGCACAGCUUAGACAGAUUUCAUUGCUGAUUUCACUCCGUGGAGGUCCGUGGAGCCCAAGGUGUACUCGAGGCGGACUUUGCGUGGACUCGGCGCAUUCAGGACCAGAGGGGAUAGGUCUUUUAGAGCUAUGACCCCAAGACUGAGUUGACUUUGUUGAUUCUCUGAAGAAGCAGCUGAAGACCAUUUAUUCAGAUUGACUUUUAACUAGC